rnacentral:misc_RNA from 1 species
GCAUAUCAGAAGCUAUUAGUGCGUCCAGCACUGAUAACUACCCUGAAGAAAGCAUCUGGAACACUUUGGAGCCAAAUGAUAAAGUUGGACAUGGAGCUUCAUAUUGGUCAAGUAAAGGGCAAAGUAACCCUACUGUUCCUGAAGCAUUAGUGUACAAGUUUAUAGCUAAUUUAUGUCUCAUAACUGAAAUCCAUAUUCAACCAUUCCAAGCAUACUUCCAGUAUGGCUUCCCUAUAUAUUCAUCUAAGGCUGUCCGAUUUAGACUGGGUCAUCAUAAGUUUCCACUGCAGUUGGAGAAUAAUGUCACAGUUAAUUCUGCUUUCAAUCACAAUUCAAUGGAUGACAAGUUUAUUUGGACAUAUACUUCACCAGAAUUUCCAAUGGCUCAGGAAAACUGCUUGCAAAAGUUCAAGCUACCAGAACCGGUUCUUUGUAUCGGAGGAAUUUUGCAAGUUGAGCUACUGGGAAGAGUUCAGAGACAAGAAAUGGAUGGAUUAUAUUAUAUAUGUAUAUCCCAUGUUCAGGCGGUGGGACGACCCCUUUCACACCCAUUUGAUGUGGAAAUACUUGAUCCCACAGGAAAGUGCACCUUAAAGUAUAGCCCUCUCAGAGAAUCCCGUGGAUCACAUAAAGGAGAGACAUGUGCAACUUCUCGCUUGCAAAUGUUGACUGUGAGAUUAAUGGAGAGAGGCGUAAGGGGAUGGGAAAAUAUGAUUCUCAAUACACUGCUUGGCACUGGGCCAGUGGCUGAAGAGGAUGAGUCAGAUGAUCUUUUAGAGGAUGACUCGGACGAUGAGCUGUUGACAUAAGCUUUAAAAUUUUUGUUUGCAGUUCGUGUUCCCAUUUACGCCUUCUGCUGCACUAAGAUCAAUUGUGCAAAUGGGUAAUGUGGAAAGCCAUAAACUAGUGUCAUCGACAAGUAGGAGGGGACAUUUCUAUUUGUUUUAACAUUUUUAUGAUAUGGUGAUGUGUGACCAACUUAUUAUUUAGUUAAUGAUAUAUCAUUG